UACGUAGGUGGCAAGCGUUGUCCGGAUUUACUGGGCGUAAAGAGCGCGCAGGCGGUCGUUCAAGUCGCGUGUGAAAGCCCCCGGCUCAACCGGGGAAUUGCGCCCUAAACCGGGUGACUGGAGUGAGAUAGGGGUGUGUGGAACUUCCGGUGGAGCGGUGAAAUGUGUUGAUAUCGGAAGGAACGCCGGUGGCGAAAGCGACACACUGGGUCUCAACUGACGCUGAGGCACGAAAGCCAGGGGAGCAAACGGG
rnacentral:rRNA from 1 species